CACAUUCAGAUUCUGCCAUGACCUCUCCUCUCCUAUGAGAAUAGAAUUCUGCUGAAACCCUCCCCUGUAAAACCACAGAGGAAUGAGGAUUAAAGGUCUCACUGUGACUCUGCAUCCUUGGGUGGUGUCCUGGUUUGGAGCAAGUUUGGAAGGAAACUUCCAAAGGGGUCCCUCUAGAAAGCAGAUUCAAGCAGCUCUUCCCCAGACUGCUCAGG